AUCAACUAUUAUUUUCUUUUCUAAAAAAUGGACAAUUUAAUUAAAAUUUUCAAUAAUUAUUAUUAAACUGAAAAGGUUUUUUUAGUAAAUGAGAAAAAGAAGGUUGAACGUACCUUUAGCAUUAGGGGUUUUUAAAAAAAGAAAAAGAUUUUAUUUUCCCGAAAUAAUUUGAGCUAAAAUUGUAAAUUAAUUUAUAUUUCAAUACAAAUAAAAUUCAAUUUUAGAUGUGAAAUUCUUUUCAAAAAUUAUGAUACCUGGUUAAUAAUAAAAUUACUAUAAGUAUUUCUAUAAAUGUAAUUAAUAUAAAAAUUUAUAGAAAAUUAAUUUUGGGAUAAGCUAAAAUUAUAAAUUUAAAACUUAAAGGCAAUAAACAGAAAGAUUAAAAUUUUCUUUUUUAUUUUCAUAAAUACGUUUUAAUUAAGGUUUAAAAUAUUUUAAAUAUUUAAUAAAUUUAAUUUAAAAUUUAAAUAAAAAUGAAAAUAUUAGUAAAAGUUUAAUUAAACUAAUAAUUUAAAAUUAAAAUCUAUAAUAGAAAAAUAAUUUUUAAGAAUUCAGCAAAAAAUUUUUUUAACUGUUUAAUAAAAACAUUUCAUUUAGUAAAAUUUAUUAAAUGUAAUUUCUGCUCAAUGAAAAUUUUAAUUGCUGUAGUAUUUUGACUAUACAAAGGUAUUGUAAUAAGAUUUUAAUUGAAUGCUAAAAGAAUGGAAAUUUAAAAAAAAACUUUUUUAAAAAUAAAAAUUGAAUUUUUUUUAAUUUGUGCAAAAACAAUUAUUAUUAUUAAAGACAAGAAGACCCUAAGAAUUUAUGAUUUUGCAAUUAGAAUUUUUUUCCAAAAAAUCUUGAUUGGGGCGAUCAAAAAAUAUUAAUAACUUUUUAAAUUUAAAUUGAUCUAUUAUUAAUAAACUAAUGAAUUAAAUACUCUAGGGAUAACAGCGUAAUAAUUUUUGAUAGAUCUUAUUGACAAAAUAGUUUGCGACCUCGAUGUUGGAUUAGGAUCCUUUUUUAAUGAAGAAGUUAAAAAAAGAAGUUUGUUCAACUUUUAAAUUCCUACAUGAUCUGAGUUUAGACCGAUGAGAAUCAGGUUGGAUUCUAUCUUAAUAAAAAAAUUUUUUUAGUUAGUACGAAAGGAAUUCUAAAAUUUAAUUAUUAAGAUUAACAACUUUAUUUGCAUCAAUUUUUGUAAUUU
rnacentral:rRNA from 1 species